GAUGAACGCUGGCGGCGUGCCUAAUACAUGCAAGUCGAGCGAACGGACGAGAAGCUUGCUUUUCUGAUGUUAGCGGCGGACGGGUGAGUAACACGUGGAUAACCUACCUAUAAGACUGGGAUAACUUCGGGAAACCGGAGCUAAUACCGGAUAAUAUUUUGAACCGCAUGGUUCAUAAGUGAAAGACGGUCUUUCUGUCACUUAUAGAUGGAUCCGCGCUGCAUUAGCUAGUUGGUAAGGUAACGGCUUACCAAGGCAACGAUGCAUAGCCGACCUGAGAGGGUGAUCGGCCACACUGGAACUGAGACACGGUCCAGACUCCUACGGGAGGCAGCAGUAGGGAAUCUUCCGCAAUGGGCGAAAGCCUGACGGAGCAACGCCGCGUGAGUGAUGAAGGUCUUCGGAUCGUAAAACUCUGUUAUUAGGGAAGAACAUAUGUGUAAGUAACUGUGCACAUCUUGACGGUACCUAAUCAGAAAGCCACGGCUAACUACGUG
rnacentral:rRNA from 1 species